rnacentral:rRNA from 1 species
AUUGAACGCUGGCGGCAGGCUUAACACAUGCAAGUCGAGCGGGGAAAGGUAGCUUGCUACCUGACCUAGCGGCGGACGGGUGAGUAAUGCUUAGGAAUCUGCCUAUUAGUGGGGGACAACAUUCCGAAAGGAAUGCUAAUACCGCAUACGCCCUACGGGGGAAAGCGGGGGAUCUUCGGACCUUGCGCUAAUAGACGAGCCUAAGUCAGAUUAGCUAGUUGGUGGGGUAAAGGCCUACCAAGGCGACGAUCUAUAGCGGGUCUGAGAGGAUGAUCCGCCACACUGGGACUGAGACACGGCCCAGACUCCUACGGGAGGCAGCAGUGGGGAAUAUUGGACAAUGGGCGAAAGCCUGAUCCAGCCAUGCCGCGUGUGUGAAGAAGGCCUUUUGGUUGUAAAGCACUUUAAGCGAGGAGGAGGCUACUUGGAUUAAUACUCUAGGAUAGUGGACGUUACUCGCAGAAUAAGCACCGGCUAACUCUGUGCCAGCCGCCGCGGUAA